rnacentral:rRNA from 1 species
CAGCAGCCGCGGGAAUACGUAGGGUGCGAGCGUUAAUCGGAAUUACUGGGCGUAAAGCGUGCGCAGGCGGUUGUGUAAGACAGGUGUGAAAUCCCCGGGCUUAACCUGGGAACUGCGCUUGUGACUGCACAGCUAGAGUAUGGCAGAGGGGGGUGGAAUUCCACGUGUAGCAGUGAAAUGCGUAGAGAUGUGGAGGAACACCGAUGGCGAAGGCAGCCCCCUGGGCCAAUACUGACGCUCAUGCACGAAAGCGUGGGGAGCAAACAGGAUUAGAUACCCCGUGUAGUCCCUGUCUCUUAUA